rnacentral:rRNA from 1 species
GACGAACUGUUCUAACGUUAUUCGGAAUCACUGGGCUUAAAGGGCGCGUAGGCUGUUUGUUAAGCGGGGUCUGAAAUCCCUCGGCUCAACCGAGGAACUGGGCUUCGGACUGGCAGACUAGAGUGAAGUAGGGGUAAGCGGAACUUGCGGUGGAGCGGUGAAAUGCUUUGAUAUCGCAAGGAACACCGGCGGCGAAGGCGGCUUACUGGGCUUCAACUGACGCUUAUGCGCGAAAGCUAGGGUAGCGAACGGGAUUAGAUACCCGUGUUGUCCCUGAGCGGGCU